UUGAAGCUUAGAGAUUCUUAAUGUUCUGUAAGUUAUCAGCAAUGUUUGAACACGAUGUUCAAACAAGCCGCCACUGAGCCACGGAUGGCGAAUUGGCGGCGUUUGCGUACGUUUUCGAUGUUUUCAACAGAACAUUUAGCAUCUCUUAGCUUC
rnacentral:ncRNA from 1 species